rnacentral:rRNA from 1 species
UUGCCAGCCCGCUCAAGAAACUCAAAGGAAGUUGACGGGGGCCCGCACAAGCGGUGGAGUAUGUGGUUUAAUUCGAUGCAACGCGAAGAACCUUACCUGGUCUUGACAUCCCGGAGACCCUUAGGAAACUAGGGGGUGCUUCCAUCUGGAAGAAUCUGGAGACAGGUGCUGCAUGGCUGUCGUCAGCUCGUGUCGUGAGAUGUUGGGUUAAGUCCCGCAACGAGCGCAACCCUUGCCUUUAGUUGCCAGCAGUUCGGCUGGGCACUCUAAAGGGACUGCCGGUGUUAAACCGGAGGAAGGUGGGGAUGACGUCAAGUCCUCAUGGCCUUUAUGACCAGGGCUACACACGUACUACAAUGGCCGAUACAAAGGGCAGCGACACUGCGAGGUGAAGCCAAUCCCGUAAAAUCGGUCUCAGUCCGGAUUGGAGUCUGCAACUCGACUCCAUGAAGUUGGAAUCGCUAGUAAUCGUGGAUCAGCAUGCCACGGUGAAUACGUUCCCGGGCCUU